AACCCGUGUUGUGGACACUUCCAUAAGGGUCCUUGAAUCGCUCCCAAGUCUCAAACAAGGAUUCAAGCUCCAUUUGAAUAAACGAAUAUAUUUCAUUAUGAAGCU